AUGCAACGGUUUCAAAAGAGGCGUGAGAAGGUGGGCGAGAAUAGCUUUGAGGCUUUGGUCAUUGAGGAUUUUGAUUGGGGCAAUGAGUGGGUGGACCCAUCACUAUCACAACCUCAAGGUGCUCGAGGUUGUCCUGAAGACAAUCAAGACAUUACAUGGGAGGAUGUUGAUGUGGCUAUUGGUGCAUCUUCAAACCUUCGAGGCCGCAAUCUGCAUAGGACAGCAACUACACUUCGUAGGGGCCAGACAAAUGUCCGUCUGCACUACGCGCGCAAGAGACCUACUACAACACGACCUAUAAUUCCUGAAGAAGAUGAGGUAGAGGAGGACUUGGAGCAAGAGCAACACUCAAGUAUGCCCAAUGCGGAGGGGGAGGAUUCAGACUACGUUGAGGAUGAUGAUGUGAGCAAUGACGAUCAAGAGCCAACUAAUGUUGACCAAGAUGGUGAAGACAACACCAAUGCCAAUGAGUUUGAUGAUGAUGACUUUUGA
rnacentral:rRNA from 1 species